rnacentral:rRNA from 1 species
AUUGAACGCUGGCGGCAUGCUUUACACAUGCAAGUCGAACGGUAACAGGCCGCAAGGUGCUGACGAGUGGCGAACGGGUGAGUAAUGCAUCGGAACGUGCCCAGACGUGGGGGAUAACGCAGCGAACGCUGUGCUAUUACCGCAUACGAUCUAUGGAUGAAAGCGGGGGACCGUAAGGCCUCGCGCGAUUGGAGCGGCCGAUGUCAGUUUAGGUAGUUGGUGGGGUAAAGGCCCACCAAGCCAACGAUCUGUAGCUGGUCUGAGAGGACGACCAGCCACGCUGGGACUGAGACACGGCCCAGACUCCUACGGGAGGCAGCAGUGGGGAAUUUUGGACAAUGGGCGCAAGCCUGAUCCAGCAAUGCCGCGUGCAGGAAGAAGGCCUUCGGGUUGUAAACUGCUUUUGUACGGAACGAAAAGGUCUGGGUUAAUACCCUGGGCUGAUGACGGUACCGUAAGAAUAAGCACCGGCUAACUACGUGCCAGCCGCCGCCGUAA